UACAGAGGGUGCAAGCGUUGUUCGGAAUUAUUGGGCGUAAAGGGCGCGUAGGCGGUGCCACAAGUCACCUGUGAAAUCUCCGGGCUUAACUCGGAGCCUGCAGGCGAAACUGUGGUGCUGGAGUGUGGGAGAGGUGCGUGGAAUUCCCGGUGUAGCGGUGAAAUGCGUAGAUAUCAGGAGGAACACCUGUGGCGAAAGCGGCUCACUGGACCGAUAAACU
rnacentral:rRNA from 1 species